CGAAGCAGAUUACUACGGUAUCAAAAUUUCUUCAAGUCCGGAUUCGUCACCAUCGCCAAAUGCAAGCACAAUAUCUGAAGUUCUGGACAGCUCUGGUAUUUCUAUGCGGAAGUAUGCCAAAUUAGCCGCCACAACACCAACCCUGCCGAGACAGCACAACGUUCGACGCUUCCGGCAACAGCUCAACGAACAAAUCGCCAUCACUGACACUGAUCAUGGUGCUCGGAGGCAGCUCCGUGACCUGCUUACGGCUAUGAGACCCUCCGUCAGAAACGGACCUGACAAUUCGGUCCGCGUGAAGAUAUCAGGCGAUGGUGCACCGGUGGGGAAGUACCGGAGUUUCCUGAAUCUUUCCGUGAGCCUCCCUGAUGAGCCGACACCAGCACAACGACAGCCGAGACUCCUCGAGAUCAGCACAGCAAAAGAAUGCUGGUCAACUCUACAGACACUCCUUAGACCA